rnacentral:ribozyme from 1 species
AUAAUGGGUUCAAAAUUUCCGCUGGCUGGAGGCUGGAGGAGUGUGAGUGUGCAGCGACAUCAUGAUAUGGCCAAGCCACCCAAAUCCUUCGCUGUUCUCAAGCCAAA